UUGGCUGUGUUGUUAGUGGUACACUGAAGCUCUUAUUGGUGUACUCUCUUAUAGAGUCCCAGCAAACACAGAACGUUGUGACGACGUCGCCAGUUCGUCGUCCUUUGGUCAGCGCGACAUUACUUUAUGGCGACGUUGUGAGGACGUCGUGGUAAAGUUCCAUUUUUUAGAAUCUUGGCUAACGUUCCAGAAACGUCGUGGGCACAUCCUCAAAAGACGUCGCUUGUUAGUCCCGUGAAGAACGUUGUAGCGACGUGGUCAGCUGGUCUCAUGAUAACUUUUCAUAUUAUUGCACUACAUGUAUUAUGUUAAGAUACCAUUUGGAUAGCCUAUAUUUUGGAAAAUUUUAAAAGAUGGCAUGAAUUAUUAUAUUUGUAGGUACGUAUGUGUCAUCAAAUUAAGGACAAAACAAAAACCAAAUAGCUUGCUUAGCAAAUGGUGAUCAUUGUUAAUUACAUGUUUGUGAAUGACUGAGAAUGAGGUUUAUUGAAAGAGGGCUCGGGACAAAUUAACAUUUAAACCAGCAGCGCGCGGCGCGUCACUGUCUGUACUGCUGCGCGAGUGCGCGUGCCCGUCAUUAACGGUCAACUUCCAGCAGACGGACACGGAGGAAAAGGUCCUGACUGCCACCAGUCGAGUCAAUGAUUCAGUGGAGAGACAAUCUGGGCAGCAGCAACAAGACAACUAUUACGAGUAGAGAUGGGUUUCAAGAUCCAGGUGCAAGGUGCAAUAAGAUGCAAGGAUCCAGGAUCAAGAGAUCAUUCAUCAUGAAGACUGUUCAAUAGGAAGCAGCGAAUCCUGGGUGAAAAACUAAACCUGGUUGUUUCAGCAUCACUCAGGCAAGGCAAAAUACAUUUAAAUUGAUUUCAGUAGGUUAUAUGUUUCAGAUCAUCCUGACCAUUCUGUUGUCCUGGAUUUGAAGACAUGCUGGAACUGUAUUUCUCGUGGCUGAAAGAUUUGUGCAGCGGUAUCCAGACAUAUAAGCACCCUUCCUGGACCCACACGACUAAAGGCUCUGGAGGAGAGACAGCUGCCGGAGAAGGAUAUUGACGAUGCAGGCUCAGGACGGCGAAGAGGAGGAAGAACACCUUUAACAUAAUUUUCUCAUACCUUUGUCAUGUGUUAUAAUAAAAACAAUAAACCUGACUACAAUAAUAUGGUAAAUUUUAUUAAAAGAUUCCAGUUUGCAAGGAAUCUGGAGUCUCUGACUCUGCCCUAAAGGAACUCUUUGCUGAGGAAGACCAAGUGCUGAGGAGGAGCCUUGUUCUACAGCAAAACACUGCAUCAACCCUCCAUGACAAGAUGAAGAGUGAAGAGUCUCCUCCUGUCCUUCCCUCAGAAGAGCCUGUCUUCUGCUGCUGGGGUAAGAACGACACUCUUCCUCGUCUCUCACAGCCGUCCAGCACCUAACUCUGCCUCCUCAGCACUGUCUGAAAGAGUCUUCUCCACAGUCAGUAAUCAGAGAUCACACAUUCUCCAGAGAAAGUCAACACGCUCAUUUUCCUAAACAAAAACUGUUUAUGUUUUGUGGGGUGGGCCAAAUUAUACAGGAGUGAUGCUAGAAAUCUUUAUAUUGUUCAUUUUACAUAUCUUUACUCUUUAUGAAUGUUAUUUUCUUUAUUUAUUUUAUCUUCUGAGAAGCCCAAGAACUAUGGUUCUUUGGUAAUUGUAACAUUGUUUAGGUUUAUCUUCUGAUAGUGAAGCUGUAUUAAAGCACAUCAGCACCAGAUAUUAAUGAAGUAUCUACUGAAUUGUUUCAUAUCUUUUUUAUCAUGUCUUUAUUUUUUUGCACCAAAUUAAGGGAGUUGUAUCAAUAAGAGUACUGAUAAUUAUUGAUAAUUUUCACUGAUAACAGCAUUAUUUAACUAUGCCCAACCUUAAUGAGACACAAACUUUUCAGUUGAUUGGUAACACUU